rnacentral:rRNA from 1 species
UUCGAUGGUAGGUUCUGCGCCUACCACGGUUGUAACGGGUAACGGGGAAUCAGGGUUCGAUUCCGGAGAGGGAGCCUGAGAAACGGCUACCACAUCCAAGGAAGGCAGCAGGCGCGCAAAUUACCCACUCCCAGUACGGGGAGGUAGUGACGAAAAAUAACGAUGCAGAACUCAUUCCGAGGCUCUGCAAUCGGAAUGAGUACACUCUAAAUCAUUUAACGAGUAUCCAUUGGAGGAAAAGUCUGGUGCCAGCACCCGCGGUAAUUCCAGCUCCAAUAGCGUAUAUUAAAGUUGUUGCGGUUAAAAAGCUCGUAGUUGGAUCUGUGUUUCACGCUGUCGGUUCACCGUUUGGUCGGUGCCUAACUGACAUGUCGUGGUACGUCCUGCCGGUUGGUUAUGGUGGUUUGCAGCGAUGCGGGCGCCAUAACCAGUUCCAAUCCUUUCGCGGUGCUCUUCACCGAGUGUCGCGGCGGGCCGGCACGUUUACCUUGAACAAAUUUGAGUGCUUAAAGCAGGCUAUAUACGCCAGAAAACUGUGUGCAUGGAAUAAUAUAAUAGGAUCUCGGUUCUAUUUUGUUGGUUUUCAGAGUCCGAGGUAAUGAUUAAUAGGGACAGGCGGGGGCAUUAGUAUUGCGACGUUAGAGGUGAAAUUCUUGGAUCGUCGCAAGACUAACCUAAGCGAAAGCAUUUGCCAAGGAUGCUUCCAUUAAUCAAGAACGAAAGUUAGAGGUUCGAAGGCGAUCAGAUACCGCCCUAGUUCUAACCAUAAACGAUGCCAGCCAGCGAUCUGCCACAGUUCUUUUAUUAUGACUUGGCAGGCAGCUUCCGGGAAACUAAAGCAUUUGGGUUCCGGGGGAAGUAUGGUUGCAAAGCUGAAACUUAAAGGAAUUGACGGAAAGGCACCACCAGGAGUGGAGCCUGCGGCUUAAUUUGACUCAACACGGGAAAUCUCACCAGGCCAGAACACCAGGUGGAUUGACAGAUUGAGAGCUCUUUCUUGAUUUGGUGGGUGGUGGUGCAUGGCCGUUCUUAGUUGGUGGAGCGAUUUGUCUGGUUAAUUCCGAUAACGAACGAGACUCCAGCCUACUAACUAGACGUAAAUUUAUUCUGGUAUCUUUGCUACCAGCGGUAUAAUUUCUUCUUAGAGGGACAGGCGGCUUCUAGCCGCACGAGACGGAGCAAUAACAGGUCUGUAAUGCCCUUAGAUGUUCUGGGCCGCACGCGCGCUACACUGAAGGAAUCAACGUGUAUAUUUCCCUAGGCCGAAAGGUCCGGGUAACCCGUUGAACCUCCUUCGUGCUAGGGAUUGGGGCUUGCAAUUAUUCCCCAUGAACGAGGAAUUCCUAGUAAGUGCGAGUCAUAAGCUCGUGUUGAUUAAGUCCCUGCCUUUUGUGC